rnacentral:rRNA from 1 species
ACCAACGACUGCGCCACGUUGAAUACACCAGUUCUCGUCCGAUCACUGAAGUCAAGCGAUGAGCGACGUCGGGCGUGGUCAGUACUCGGAUGGGUGACCGUCUGGGAAAACUCGUGUUGUUGAUU